ensembl:lncRNA
CCCUGUGAGCAUUUUUUGGUUGACAAGACGUUUAAAAGACGUCUAUGCCCAACGUUGAAAAGACGUUGCAAAAUGGUUUAAAAGUGAAAGUUGUUUCAACGUCUAUUCGUAGACGUUGAAAAGACGUCUAUGUUUAGACCACAUUUCAACGUGAUUUUUUAAUACGGUAAUAUUUCGUCCUCUCUUGUGUGCUAUAUCAUUAUUUUAGAGGUUUAAAAAGAAACUACGUCCACAUUUGUAAGUUUACCACCGAUAUUAUAAAUCACGUUGAAAACGGGUCUAUACGCGAACGUCUUUUCAACGUCUACGAAUAGACGUUGAAACAACUUUCACUUUUAAACCAUUUUGCAACGUGUUUUCAACGUCGGGCCAUAGACGUCUUUUAAACGUUGUUUCAACGGAUAAAUUGCUCGCUGGAAACGUACAAGUUACAUACUUAGUCACAGUUGUCAUGUUAACAUCCCUUAACAAGGACAAACACAUUAUUUUAUUGAUUUGUAUUUAUUAUAAAUAUAACACUAUACAUAUAACAGCACUUUUGCUAAUUAAAAACAAUACAGAAAUAAAAUAUAUUUUUCAGGAAAAUAAAUUAUGGAAUUAAAAGUGCAGGAACAACAUUUCUGUGUUUGUAGACCAUUUUUCUGAAUCAUUGGAACUUCAUUAUAGAUUCUGUAACAAGAUGUGGCUCACUUGAGUUGGGAUAGUAUACCUGAAAUCAGCUGCAUCUCCCUCAUCCUCACUUGAGGAUUCUUUGUGUAAAGGGAGUCAGAGGGCAGAGAAAACCCCUCAAUUGCAGAUUCCUCUGGUCAACGUGUUUAUUCAAUUCAAAUCAUUUUAUUUUGUUCAGCUUCGCAAUCUGUAAACAUGCAACACCCUAUCCCCUAAACCCCAAAAUGUAAAAAACCUUCAACCUGGAGAAACCUGAGGGGAAAACAGUAGGGAAGAAGGUGUGAACAACUUAAAACAUGUACAGUACAUCCGAUUCCUACAACAUAAAUGAUUCUAAUAUUGUGGAUUAUUAAGACAGGGGUAAGGCAGGACCAGUGCAGGGACAACCAUCAUCAGACGUAACCUCCAUCAGAUGCAACCACCACCCGCAGAAACCUGUGAGGAGGGAAAGCACAAAGGCAAAGUUGGUCAUUUGGGUUUAUGAUGACAGUAAUAAACUAAUAAUAAUAACAGCAGCAGUUGUGUUAGAACACUCAUUUAUAGAUGGUUUACUUAUUACAUUAUCAACAAGAUAACAAUUCAUCUGCAACUUAUGGUAUUUCUGGAGUAACAUUUUCAGGUAUAUUACACAGUAUCAUGCUUUAAGCAGCAGUAACUUACAAUGUUUCAGCCUCUUGUUUACAGAGCACAACUUGUUGAAUUCAGCCCUUCACCCCUGCAAUGCAACUUAGCCACCAUUGCUUUAAAAACGUAUUUUUUUCAAUGUGAAAUGCAAUAAUAUUUAUGGGUACAGCAACAAUCUAACGCAUUAGCAACACCAAACACGCACAAAAAUGUCUGGAAUGUUUACUUUUGGUCCAGGUCAUCAUGCUGCACGCUAGCAUGCUCCAAGCUAGCAUGCUAACUAGCAAACUACCUGCGCUAACGCUAACUAGCUUAACAAAAAGGGCCGUCUU